GAAAGGAUGAAUCAAAAUGGCACCAGAGCGGAUCAUGGCAAGUGGAUCACGAAGAUCAUGGCAUUGCAGAAUUGUUUACAGUAUUACUGUUAAGCCAAGCAAGAAGGAAAACAAGUUGAUCGAUCAUUGAUUCUCCGAGCUAGGAAUGGAUAAUUUGUAUCAAACUGCGAGAGAAUCGACAUAUCCUAUGACCAAUCUUUGUAAGAUUCAUUAAAAGGAUGUUCCUGAUCAGUUAGGACAUCCAGAUAAUUAGAUGUUCACAGCUUUAUCUUACUGUUUUCUUCAAUUGACAGGUAGACCAGAAAUUCGAAAAGCAGGUGUCUCUAUCCUUAAAAUAUACAUGCCAGUCUAUCUGCCGAUGGAAUUGUAACAGCGAAUCGCAUGAUAAGCGCCACUCGAUCAAUUUCGUGAAGUGAAGUCUAGUCAGUGUCUGCAGCAAUCAAUGUUCUUAGUGACAAAUACUGAACCUUCUCAAAUUCUGAAAGGUAUUGUCAACAUCACCAAAUUCCAGGCUUAAAGCUUAUCGACUUGCGCAUCAAGUGCGCUAGCUCUCUCUUCUCCUUUUCCCUUGUCGAGAUUUAUGGUGGAUUGUUGCUAUUAGGCAAAAGAGAAACUCUGAAGAUCGCCCUGAAUCUUGAGAUCCAACAAAAAGAUAUGCAUUGCACUCCAUAAAUUACAUACCCGGAUGUCAUCGAGGGGUCGCUUAUCAUUUUGGGCUUUCCUGGUAAGUGUGAUUCGGUGAAUUUAAUAAUGUUGGAUCAUCGAUGCAUCAAAUCUUCUGCUUUAUUCUACUACGUACUAAACUGCUCUACAACUGUUUCCUAGCCAAACUAUGAGAAGAGAAAAACUAGAUCUGAUUAAGGAAUGAGCUUGAAUUGAUGAAUUGAUAAUUUGGCAUUCGUUGAUUGACUUGGGUGGCAUCUUCAGUUUCUCUCCACUGAGAGUGAAAGAGAAGCAAAAGGUCAAACUUCUCCGUGAUGAUUUUCGUGCUGAUAAUAAAUAAGUAAAUUGCUGGUUAAUUAGAGCAUUAAGCAAACCGUGAGGAGGCAAUCAUUCGAGGCUUGAAAAGUAAGAUUUCCUCGGAUAUAAUGUGCCUAUGAUUGAUUACUUACUAGGCUAAUAUAUGCAUUAUAUUUUCAAACAAAAUGAAAGGGAAAUGAAAAGGAACAAAAAUAAUAUCGUAAAUAAAGGCGAUAAUUAAGAUCAAAAAAUAUUUACGUGAAUUUCUAUGUUCAAUAUUCAUAAAACUUGUGUAGAUUACUGAUGAAUAUUGAGUCUCUUGCACUACGGUCUUAAUUUAUUACAUGCCAAUUCGACUAUGUUAAAAAAAAAAAGAAGCUAUCUCAGGAAGUUGAAACUAUUCUCGUUAUCGGUUUGAUUUUAUAAUUGAUAUAAGUAUCAUUGUUAUUAUGAGCGGCAAUAUUUUUUUAUUUUCCAUUUAAUUGCACGGUCAUGAUUAACCUAUAGGUAGCACUAAAUUCAGCAAUAUCAAGAGCGGCAUGUAUCAACAGUGCUAUCACUAAUUAAUUAGGUUAAAAAUAAUUUUUAAUAUGACUUUAUGUUACCGUAAGUUGAAUUAUAUUAGAAAAAUUUUAGAUUAAAUUACUCCAUGAUUUAUUUUUGCGGAGGCCGACACAUAUAGUUACAUUGUGGACAAAGUCAAAAAAGACAAUGAUAAGUUUGGGAAAAAAAUCAUCAGCACAAUGGUUCGGGAGAGUUCCAUCACGAGAUCUCUUGCUUGUACAAAUCUAAAUCCAUCUUAGUGGGAUAAUAUAUAUCCUACUAUUCUUCCUUCACUUUCAUUUUUUUUUUAACUCUAACUAAUACGUGUCUGUCUCAGAUGUUAUAAUCCAUGUUGACAAAUCUAUUCUCUUUGUCGAAUCAAAUCUCAAAAGAAAGUUUCUUUUUUCCUCAGCAAAUCAAUGAAGGUUUAUUGUUGACAAAAACAAAUACACAGUAAAAAUAUUUAAGAGAAGAUUACAAGAGCAGAAAAACAUAAUAGAUCCGUACUGCAAAGAAAAAAUACAAAGUGAUAAUAUAUAUGUAAUUGCUGAAAUCUUUCUAGUUGCAAAAAAAGAAGAAGAUAUAGUUGUAAAAAUCUUUCAAAUUGCUAUAUAUCCGUUCUCAAACUCUUACAAUUAAACUCUAUAUGGAUACGGUCAAUACUAGAAAUCAGAACUAGAUACAAUCCAUACAAAGGUGCUACUAUGUGAAACAGAGAAGCAAGAGGAGUCUUGAAUCGGUACUCGGCACAAGAACCUUUCAUAGAUCACAAUGAACAACAUAAUCUCGAGAUAAUCGAACCAAAACAACAAGGAUUCCUAGAUUGGUUUAAAUCUGCGACAAUUAAUCCAAUCAGACAGUUUAUCAAAUCAAAGAACUCAAAGCAAAGCAUCAAGGAUUUCUCGAUUAGUUCAAAUUAGUGACGAUCAAACUAAUUAAAGAAACUGUCAAAUCAAAGAAUCCAAGCUUUUUAGUUGGUUUAGACCAGCAAUUAGCAUAGGGACGGUUGAAAUCGUGAUCAUAAUCGUGGAGGACGGGGAUACUAUCGCUUACACGUGGGGUGGAGUUGCCAAAGACGAGAGGCCACCAUCGUAGGGAGGGAGAGGUUGGACUGGAGGGCUGUGGAGGAUAACGCUUCCACUGUGCCGGCACCAUCGAGAGAAGCGUAUGUUGCCAUAGCCCACUGCACUGCCGCCGUCGAAGAAUAAUAAACUUGAGCACCAUUCGCAAUGUCCAGGAUCAGAAUCCGAAACAGAAGUGAAAGUAAGGAGCCAGUCCAAUCAAUGAGCGCACAAGUGGAAACAACUAUGGUCGAAAAAGGUCUCAUUGACAAAUUUAUCAUAGAAGAAGCAACCACGAAUUGUCAAAUUCUGUACUAUAGAUAAAUCACUUGCAACUGUUACGGAUGUUACACGAGACUGGUCAAAAACACAAAGCUUCGAAAAGGAACACUCAUAAGACUUGGGACAGCAAAAACAAGACUUGAGUGGAACCAUCAUGUAUGAAGAUCCUGCGGGACAGAAAGCCUUCUCUUCAUGCCACAUUGUGCAACUCCUAGAGCAUUUUCACAG